rnacentral:rRNA from 1 species
CAGUAGCCGCGGUAAUACGUAGGUGGCAAGCGUUGUCCGGAAUUAUUGGGCGUAAAGGGCUCGCAGGCGGCUUCUUAAGUCUGAUGUGAAAGCCCCCGGCUCAACCGGUGAGGGUCAUUGGAAACUGGGAAACUUGAGUGCAGAAGAGGAGAGUGGAAUUCCACGUGUAGCGGUGAAAUGCGUAGAGAUGUGGAGGAACACCAGUGGCGAAGGCGUCUCUCUGGUCUGUAACUGACGCUGAGGAGCGAAAGCGUGGGGAGCGAACAGGAUUAGAUACCCCUGUAGUCCCUGUCUCUUAUAU